rfam:Ornithorhynchus anatinus chromosome X1, whole genome shotgun sequence.
UGCCUCUCAGGGUUGCACCUGGAGAGAUUCCAGGAUUCUACCAGUCUCGACUACAAGAGGGAGAGUCAAGAAGAGGCAUAUCCAUUCCAUUUCUAGCUUGGCCAGUGACUAGCUAGUGGAAAGCAAUCUGCUACAAGU